UAUGUGUUCUGCAACAAGACCAGAGAAGCGCACCGCCACUCUAGUCAGAAUAAACUUUCCACACAACACCAAACCUGCAAACACGAAGACGUCAUGACAACACAUCAAAGCAGAGCUUCAGAGGGCAACAUGAAUCAUGGAGAAAGAGUCCGAUCCCAUCAACAUCUGCAGCACCAGGAACUAGUACUCCUCCUGCUUCUGAUGAUGAUGAACUUGACACCAGCUUCAGUAGUACAGAGCCUGUAGACCCAUUGGAUGAAAGCUUUCAGCCUGGAAUAAGCUCAACAUCAUCUGACUUUGAAACAAGCCACGACA